rnacentral:sRNA from 1 species
AUCUUGUAUUUUAGAGAAUUGUCCAAAAAUAAAAGACAUUUAAGUUGUAUUCUUUGAGAAGCUCACUUUGUUUUUCCACUCCGUUAAACACAUGCCAAUGUAUGUUAGUCCAUGAAACACUUUACAUUAUUCUUGGACAUUUCCUCGGACAUAAAAAAACCAAUAUGACAAAAGCUUAAGCGCAAGUGGCAAAACAUUGCUCUUAAGAAUUACUCAAUCUAUCUCAAUAUACCAAUGUACUCAAUCUAUCUCAAUGGUUGGAUAACUGUUACCACGAGCAUUACCACAUUAUAAACCCAGACUCUCACGUCAAUAGUCAGUGGUAACCUCAUGAAGAAAUUCAUGAAGACUUAGGUGGAUGUCACCCAAAAGUCAUUCGUAAAUCGUAAUAAGUCAGUCGCAUAUCAAAAUCUGAUAUUUGAUAAUCAUUCUCAUAAUAGCAACCCUCAACAUCUUGAACAAGGUAAAGAAAAUAACUAGUCUCACCCAGAGAAAAGUUGUAUCUAUAAAACUUUUUCA